rnacentral:rRNA from 1 species
AGUGAACGCUGGCGGUAGGCCUAACACAUGCAAGUCGAACGGCAGCACAUUAAGAGCUUGCUCUUACGGGUGGCGAGUGGCGGACGGGUGAGGAAUACAUUGGCAUCUACUUUUUCGUGGGUGAUAACGUAGGGAAACUUACGCUAAUACCGCAUACGCCCUACGGGUGAAAGCAGGGGAUCUUCGGACCUUGCGCGAUUGAAUGAGUCGAUGUCGGAUUAGCUAGUUGGGGGGGUAAAGGCCCACCAAGGCGACGAUCCGUAGCUGGUCUGAGAGGAUGAUCAGCCACACGGGAACUGAGACAGGGUCCAGACUCCUACGGGAGGAAGCAGUGGGGAAUAUUGGACAAUGGGGGAAAGCCUGAUCCAGCCAUACCGCGUGGGUGAAGAAGGCGUUCGGGUUGUAAAACCCUUUUGUAGGGAAGGAAGAGCAGCAGGUUAAUAACCCGAUGUUGUGACGGUACCCAAAGAAUAAGCACCGGCUAACUUCGUG